AAGUCGUAACAAGGUUUCCGUAGGUGAACCUGCGGAAGGAUCAUUACCGAAAAACAACGCCCCCGUCGCUGCGGUUCGCGUCCCCUUUAACAAGGGACGCGGGCGCGCGCGGGGACGGACCCCUGUGAACGCGUUAUCGUCCUUGGUGCCCCGACUCUCAAACCCCUUCGGGGGAGCGAGAUCGUCGCGGGCCCAAUCUUUUUCAUUUACCCCAUCUCUUCUGAAUGCUGACUGAAGUAAAGUCGAGGUCUCGGCCUUCAUUGCGCCCCGGCUUUCGGCGUGGUCAACGCACCUCCCCUCGCGGGCGGGCUUUGACGACAAAAACAUGUGACAACUUUUAACAACGGAUAUCUUGGUUCAC
rnacentral:misc_RNA from 1 species